rnacentral:rRNA from 1 species
CCUACGGGUGGCAGCAGUGGGGAAUAUUGGGCAAUGGGCGCAAGCCUGACCCAGCAACGCCGCGUGAAGGAAGAAGGCUCCCGGGUUGUAAACUUCCUUUUUCAGGGACGCAGCAAGUGACGGUACCUGAUGACUAAGCCACGGCUAACUACGGGCCAGCAGCCGCGGUGAUACGUCGGUGGCAAGCGUUAUCCGGAUUUACUGGGUGUAAAGGGCGUGUAGGCGGGAAAGCAAGUCAGAUGUGAAAACCAUGGGCUCAACCUGUGGCCUGCAUUUGAAACUGGUUGUCUUGAGUACUGGAGAGGCAGACGGAAUUCCUAGUGUAGCGGUGAAAUGCGUAGAUAUUAGGAGGAACACCAGUGGCGAAGGCAGUCUGCUGGACAGCAACUGACGCUGAGGCGCGAAAGCGUGGGGAGCAAACAGGAUUAGAUACCCGGGUAGUC